rnacentral:rRNA from 1 species
AUUGAACGCUGGCGGCAUGCUUUACACAUGCAAGUCGAACGGCAGCGCGGGCUUCGGCCUGGCGGCGAGUGGCGAACGGGUGAGUAAUACAUCGGAACGUGCCCAGUAGUGGGGGAUAGCUCGGCGAAAGCCGGAUUAAUACCGCAUUCGACCCGAGGGUGAAAGCGGGGGAUCUUCGGACCUCGCGCUAUUGGAGCGGCCGAUGGCAGAUUAGCUAGUUGGUGGGGUAAAGGCCUACCAAGGCGACGAUCUGUAGCUGGUCUGAGAGGACGACCAGCCACACUGGGACUGAGACACGGCCCAGACUCCUACGGGAGGCAGCAGUGGGGAAUUUUGGACAAUGGGCGAAAGCCUGAUCCAGCAAUGCCGCGUGUGUGAUGAAGGCCUUCGGGUUGUAAAGCACUUUUGGCGGGAACGAAAAGGACUGUGCCAACACCACGGUUCGAUGACGGUACCCGCAGAAUAAGCACCGGCUAACUACGUG